UGAAAAACGUCUACUGUGAUUGGUAGAUAUAAGGACUUAGGAGAGGUGACAUAGGAGAAAAUGCCCUUUAAAUAGGAGCUCAGAUUCAUUCAGAUGGACAUUCAGAUUGAGGAUUGAGCUGGUGGAGGCAGCUGAGAUGAUGCUGGCCUGGUGUCACUAGAAUCCUUGCUUGGACAGAUCGUGUGAUUCUACAUCACCUAUUUGGGUCCUGGAGAGGUUCCUGAGACAACACCAUGGAACAGCUUCAAAACAAGAUAAAAAGGCUCUCCCUAAGGACUACACCCUAUCCACCCCCUCACCAGGCUCAUCAGACAAGGACAGCUGAUCCACCCACCUGGGGACAAGUGGAAGAACUUGUGGCAGUAUACCACAAAGAUCAAAGAUGAACUGAUCCCGCCCUAAUCUUUUUAGCAACGUCAGCAUUAUUAACUUGCCAGGUACCUUAUGCUCUGGAGAUGUUGAGUAUACCAGCCUACACCAAUAACACCUUUUGGGCUUAUCUCCCAGACCUUUCCCCCUUGCUCGCCUUGGUAUCACCAAUCACCAGCUGUGUAUACAAACUAUUCAUUAUUCCAACGUCUCCCUCUGGGAGACAGAACUCCUACUGUGCACCCCUAUAACUUAACUACACUCACUACGGAUUUCCCCAUAUGUUUAUCUUUUCGCAGACCAGUCACAGGAUGUAUAACUGUUACAACCACCUUAGUGCAAAAACUGAUACUACUUAUACUCAGAAA